GACGAACGCUGGCGGCGUGCUUAACACAUGCAAGUCGAACGGAAAGGCCCUGCUUUUGUGGGGUGCUCGAGUGGCGAACGGGUGAGUAACACGUGAGUAACCUGCCCUUGACUUUGGGAUAACUUCAGGAAACUGGGGCUAAUACCGGAUAGGAGCUCCUGCUGCAUGGUGGGGGUGGGAAAGUUUCGGCGGUUGGGGAUGGACUCGCGGCUUAUCAGCUUGUUGGUGGGGUAGUGGCUUACCAAGGCUUUGACGGGUAGCUGGCGUGAGAGGGUGACCGGCCACAUUGGGACUGAGAUACGGCCCAGACUCCUACGGGAGGCAGCAGUGGGGAAUAUUGCACACUGGGCGGAAGCCUUAUGCAGCAACGCCGCGUGCGGGAUGACGGCCUUCGGGUUGUAGACCGCUUUCGCCUGUGACGAAGCGUGAGUGACGGUAAUGGGUAAAGAAGCACCGGCUAACUACGUG
rnacentral:rRNA from 1 species